rnacentral:rRNA from 1 species
UAUCUCUGUAGAGUCUGCAUAUCAAUAAGCGGAGGAAAAGAAACUAACAAGGAUUCCCCUAGUAACGGCGAGUGAAGCGGGAAGAGCUCAAAUUUGAAAUCUUCAAGGUUUGACCUUGACGAAUUGUAGUUUAAAGAAGUGUUUUCGGUUAGAGGAGUAGUAAAAGUUCUUUGGAAUAGGACAUCAUAGAGGGUGAGAAUCCCAUAUUUGACUAUUCUUUCUAGCUUUGUGAUACACUUUCAAAGAGUCGGAUUGUUUGGGAAUGCAGUCCAAAAUGGGUGGUAAAUUUCAUCUAAAGCUAAAUAUUGGCGAGAGACCGAUAGCGAACAAGUACCGUGAGGGAAAGAUGAAAAGAACUUUGAAAAGAGAGUUAAACAGUACGUGAAAUUGUCAAAAGGGAAGCGUUUGACACCAGUGUUGUUUUUCCGAAAAUCAAUUAAAAAUUGAUUCAUGCCAGGUUGUAUUGACCUUAUCAGCUUGCAAUUUGGUUUUGGGUCUCUUUUUGAUGCACUUUUCGGUUAACAAGUCAACAUCAAUUUCCUUUGCUGUAAAAAGGUAAGAGGAAGGUGGCUUCAAUUUCGGUUGAAGUGUUUAUAGCCUUUUAUCUCUGCAGUCGGGGAGAUUGAGGUCUGCAGCGUAGAUCCUUCGGGGCUAGAUACAUUUAUGCUAAGUUAUAGCUUUUCAUAGACAACUUGUUGACUAUGUUUAGUCAUGUAGCUUACUCGUAAGUGCUAUUUUACCUACGCUUAGGAUGUUGAGCGCAUGUCUCUCUCU